rnacentral:rRNA from 1 species
UGGGGAAUUUUGGACAAUGGGCGAAAGCCUGAUCCAGCAAUGCCGCGUGUGUGAAGAAGGCCUUCGGGUUGUAAAGCACUUUUGUCCGGAAAGAAAUCCUUGGCUCUAAUACAGUCGGGGGAUGACGGUACCGGAAGAAUAAGCACCGGCUAACUACGUGCCAGCAGCCGCGGUAAUACGUAGGGUGCAAGCGUUAAUCGGAAUUACUGGGCGUAAAGCGUGCGCAGGCGGUUUGCUAAGACCGAUGUGAAAUCCCCGGGCUCAACUGGGAACUGCAUUGGUGACUGGCAGGCUAGAGUAUGGCAGAGGGGGGUAGAAUUCCACGUGUAGCAGUGAAAUGCGUAGAGAUGUGGAGGAAUACCGAUGGCGAAGGCAGCCCCCUGGGCCAAUACUGACGCUCAUGCACGAAAGCGUGGGGAGCAAACAGGAUUAGAUACCCUGGUAGUCCACGCCCUAAACGAUGUCAACUAGUUGUUGGGGAUUCAUUUCCUUAGUAACGUAGCUAACGCGUGAAGUUGACCGCCUGGGGAGUACGGUCGC